UUUAUUAAACAUCUGAACGCUGACUGCACCUCAGGCCUCCUCACUACACCUCACCUACAACAGUCUCCGAUUUUACUAACAAUCUUGUAAUGAGCAUUUAAACUCUCUUUCUGCUUCACUCCUCUGUCACAUACAGCUUCUGGUUCCCCUACAACCUCUUUAAACUGUUUCUAGAACAUGAUGGAACAGAACAUGAUUCUCUCUCUAUUGGAACACAUUGUUCUUCUUAUGUGAAUUCUGAGAAUGUGAUGUUCUCUGUGUAGCAUUCCCUGUAGUGGAUGUGUUUACCAGAGAAGGAGGAGGAGGGGUGAGGCAGAUGAACACCCCCACCUCCACACACACACACACACACACACACACACACACAGGUCUCAUCUGCUAUUUUGCAGACAUCCAGGGCAUGAUGUCAUCCAGAUGAUGUCUGAGAGAGAGAGAGAGAGAGAGAGAGAGAGAGAGAGAGAGAGAGAGAGAGAGGUUGAAGAAGGUUAAAAGAAUGACAGAUGAAGAGAACAGUGAAGGGUCCUGCAGAGAGAAAACUGUGACAUCAGGAUCAGAGAGAGAGAGAGAGAGAGAGAGAGAGAGAGAGAAAGAUAGGGGGAACAAAAACAAGCUGCCUGAGAGGAAAGCCUCAUCACUAGAGACAGAGCAGUGAUGUCAUCAUCAGCCAAUCAGCAGCAUCCACACUGUAUGUGUGUGUGUGUGUGUGUGUGUGUGUGUGUGUGUGUGUGUGCUCUCUCUACAGACUGAUGCAGUAUGUCCUGCACACCUGAAACGUCUCACAUCUGCACCUUUUUGUAAAAAAAAGCACAGAGAUUCUGCAGCUUUCUCCAAGAACACCUGAGGUGUAGCAGAAGAUCUCCGUCACACCAUCACCCACAAAUCAAUUCAUUCAGAUGAAUGUAAUAAAAUCGUUUAUUUUACUGCUGCAUGAUGACUGCAUUAUUUUGUGACGUCAUCUGAAGAUAUGGGAGUCCAGGAGUGGUUUCUCGUUUUCCUCAGAGCUUUACAUCAUCGUCAUUACUGGUUCUAACAGGUUUAAUCUAACAUCACGUCACUGCAUGUCUCCUGUACUGCAGAAGCAUGAGUCAGAAUCUGUAAUGAUGUUCUACAGAAGCACACACAUCAACGCUGAGCCUCGUGUUUAACAGGAACCACAUGCAGAAAGAUCACAUGCUCACUGCAGGAGAAACGCAUAUAUAUGGGUCCAGAAGUGUUUUAAUCUUUUAGACAUGAACACACACACACACACACACACACCCUGUUUAGUUGUGCUUUAGUACGAGGUGGUAUCAAAAAGUUCAGAGACUAGUUUUGUGAAACCCCAACAGAUGGCAGUAAAACUGGAGCUUCUCUGACCAUGUCUGCAAUUUCAUCAUGAACAAAGUGCACACGUGAGAUUCUGAGCGAAACUGGACAAAUCUGCCACACACACGUUUGGCGUGAUUCUGCAAGUUUACGACGACAAAGGCACCAUGUCGUUCGAGGUGUUUUGAGUGGCACAAACGCUUCAAGAGCGGAAAUAAAUCACUGGAAGACGACAAGAGGUCAGGAUGACCUUUACUGAGACCUUUGGUUUGGGUCUCCAAGUUCAUGUGAAGGAGAAAUGAACACAACUGAACUUCCAUCUUUGCAGUAAUAGUUUGUGGAGGAACAUGUAUGAGUGUGAUGGUCAGGGGUGCACAUAAUUUUGCUCACAAAAUGUAAGUAAUUUCAUUUUAAAACUCAUCAGUGACAUUUUGCACUUUGUGGUGCAACACAAAUAAAGCAGGCCUUUGCUUCUGAACUGUGUGUGUGUGUGUGUGUGUGUGUGUGUGUGUGUAUGAAUUGAACAUUGUGUUAAAUGUUUUCAGUGCGAAUGUGUCGUGAUGAAUGAAGAGAGAACUGUGAAUAAAUGUCAGGCUGAGAGCCGCCUCCACUCUCGCUCAACUUCACGGCUGUGUGUGUGUGUGUGUGUGUGUGUGUGUGUGUGUGUGUGUGUGUGUCGCCUCGUCCGCUUCUCGUAGGCGGGUCAUAUUUCCUGACAGAUUCCAAUUCAGCUUUACAUCCUGCCUCUCUUUUAUCUGUGUGUGUCUGUGUGUGUGUUUGUAACCCUGGCAUUCUGUUCAAAGUGUGAGUUUUUUUGUUUUUAAGUGUAUGCCUUCAUUCUCUCCAGUGUGUGUGUGAGUGUGUGUGUGUGUGUGUGUGAUUUCACACACAGGUCAUGCUGUUCUGAGUGUGUGCAUGGCAGCAGGUGGGAUGUAUAGUGUGUGUAGGGGUAAAUACCACCACGAAGCGAGACACACACACUUUCACAUGAUGGACUAAUGCACGAGUGCAGCUGAGAAGUUCAGUUGGUGUUUCUGCAAUUUUAAGUAAAUUUAUGAACUUUUCCUGUGAUGCAUAAAAAGGUUGAAAUAAGCUGUAGAAGGUAUCAGACCUUCAGCCGAACCCAGCACUCCAUUAUAUAUAUAAAUAAAAUAAAAGAAGGAAUCGCAGCCAUCGCUCGGUUGAUUUGGAUUUGCAUGUUUGGCUUCAUUUCAUUAAAAGGUCAAAGCAUGUGGCCAGGAGCCAGACCUCCUCAAAUCCUCCAAAACAGCACACAUGAUGAAGAUAUCAAUGUAUACAAAUGCAAGAAAAUAAUAAAGAGCACAUCCACUUCCAUCUCCUGUUUGAUAAUUGAUUGAGAUUUUCGCAUUUUGAAUGUUUUCACACACAAAUGAUUCCUGCAGUUUGAUUUGUACAAUUUUUUAGCAAUUGUGUGUACAGUUUAAUAUUUACAGGCCUUUUAGCACAUUUUGAGGGUGCCAAUACUUUGAUGCUUAAGACAAAGUGAAAGAGCGAGAGGGUGUGUGUGCCCUCGUGUUUCUCUCAGGGGUAGGCACUGAGUGAGUGACAGUGAUAUUUAACACAUUUGGACCUUGAAGAGGAACAGACGGAUGGAGGGAGGACAGAUCGUCUCUCUCACACACACACACACACACACACACACACACACACACACACACACACACACACACACAAAGGAACUCACACAGCUGGGUUCAUGAAUGCGAACUGCUGAAUUAAACCUCCUACAGCUCAGAGACAGAGUGUGUGUGUGUGUGUGUGUGUGUGUGUGUGUGUGUGUGUGUGUGUGUGUGUGU